rnacentral:rRNA from 1 species
GAUGAACGCUGGCGGCGUGCCUAAUACAUGCAAGUCGAGCGAACGGACGAGAAGCUUGCUUCUCUGAUGUUAGCGGCGGACGGGUGAGUAACACGUGGAUAACCUACCUAUAAGACUGGGAUAACUUCGGAAAACCGGAGCUAAUACCGGAUAAUAUUUUGAACCGCAUGGUUCAAAAGUGAAAGACGGUCUUGCUGUCACUUAUAGAUGGAUCCGCGCUGCAUUAGCUAGUUGGUAAGGUAACGGCUUACCAAGGCAACGAUGCAUAGCCGACCUGAGAGGGUGAUCGGCCACACUGGAACUGAGACACGGUCCAGACUCCUACGGGAGGCAGCAGUAGGGAAUCUUCCGCAAUGGGCGAAAGCCUGACGGAGCAACGCCGCGUGAGUGAUGAAGGUCUUCGGAUCGUAAAACUCUGUUAUUAGGGAAGAACAUAUGUGUAAGUAACUGUGCACAUCUUGACGGUACCUAAUCAGAAAGCCACGGCUAACUACG